CCCCAGACUCCUACGGGAGGCAGUAGUGGGGAAUAUUGCACAAUGGGGGAAACCCUGAUGCAGCGACGCCGCGUGAGCGAUGAAGUAUUUCGGUAUGUAAAGCCCUAUCGGCAGGGAAGAAGGAGGACGGUACCUGACUAAGAAGCCCCGGCUAACUACGUGCCAGCAGCCGCGGUAAUACGUAGGGGGCAAGCGUUAUCCGGAUUUACUGGGUGUAAAGGGGGCGCAGACGGCAGCGCAAGCCAGGAGUGAAAACCCGGGGCCCAACCCCGGGACUGCUCUUGGAACUGCGCGGCUGGAGUGCAGGAGGGGCAGGCGGAAUUCCUGGUGUAGCGGUGAAAUGCGUAGAUAUCAGGAGGAACACCGGUGGCGAAGGCGGCCUGCUGGACUGCGACUGACGUUGAGGCCCGAAAGCGUGGGGAGCAAACAGGAUUAGAUACCCGGGUAUU
rnacentral:rRNA from 1 species